rnacentral:rRNA from 1 species
CGGCGUGCCUAAUACAUGCAAGUCGAACGGUCUUUCUAUGGAAGCUUGCUUCCACUGAGAAGAUAGUGGCGAACGGGUGAGUAACACGUGGGUAACCUGCCCAUAAGAGGGGGAUAACAUCCGGAAACGGGUGCUAAUACCGCAUAGUUUUCUUGAUCGCAUGAUUGAGAAAGGAAAGACGGCCUUUGUGCUGUCGCUUAUGGAUGGACCCGCGGCGUAUUAGUUAGUUGGUGAGGUAACGGCUCACCAAGACGAUGAUACGUAGCCGACCUGAGAGGGUGAUCGGCCACAUUGGGACUGAGACACGGCCCAAACUCCUACGGGAGGCAGCAGUAGGGAAUCUUCCGCAAUGGACGAAAGUCUGACGGAGCAACGCCGCGUGAGUGAAAGAAGGUUUUCGGAUCGUAAAACUCUGUUGUCAGAGAAGAACAAGUUGGAGAGUAACUGCUCCAGCCUUGACGGUAUCUGACCAGAAAGCCACGGCUAACUACGUGCCAGCCGCCGC